ACGAAGAUCAUUGAUGAGUUCUCCUCAGAUCUGUCAGUAGCUGACAAACUGCCAGUGUCGAUUGAAAGUGUAAUGGAAAUGCUGAAUGCAGUGAUGCAGGAAGUUGGAGAACUUGAAGAGAAGGAAGAGGAGGAUCUUUCCUCCAGAAAGGUCUCUCAAGCUGCAGGUUCAGGAGCAAAUCAUUCCAUUCCAUCUCCUAAGAAGUUACUGUUCUCUCCAACUGACAGCUGCAAGUUUUCUCCUAAA